GGGUUAAGACCUGGUUCAAGGGUUCAGGUUAGAACUAUGUUUAGGUUAGGGUUAGGCUAAGGGGCUAGUGAAUGCGUUAGGUCAAUUAAUGUCCCGCAAAGAUAGAAGUACAAACGUGUGUGUGUGUGUGUGUCAACAUGGCAAAAUAUGGUCCUGGAGACAACUACUGUAGUCAGAACUAGCACAGAGUUAGUGAAGACGAGGGUUCAGAAGGAGAGGAAGAAGAAGCAGAGCACCGACAUGAAGAUGACCAGUUUAAGACCGGUUUUGGUCUCAAACUAAAAAGUGAAGAUGAUGCAGGAUCUGGCUCUCUGAGUCUAAUAAAGGGACUGCUGGACAGAGAGUGGAGCAGAUGAGGAUCAGCAGUGGACAUUUUCUACAAGCUCUUUACAGUAAAACUCCAGAAGCUGCCCUGUACAGCCUGAAGAUGGUGCAACAUGAAACAAAGCAGUGGAGCGGCUUCCGAGAGAAAAUGGCAGCAAUGAUAGAUGAUAAUAAUCUCAGAUAUCUGCCAUACUUCACAUUGUGUCUUCUGUAGACAGCAGCGCUUUGGCAAGUGUCACUUUGUUCCAGAAAGAUUUUGUGACAACAGCAGGGCGACAUCCAAAAUUGACUCUAUGGAAACAAUUGGACACAAUCAGUGCUAUGUGGAAGAAAUAUAUUCCUUCUUCACGAGAAUCUACAUCAGAGAGAUAUUUUGAAGACGCAGAUUUUAUUAUUUUCAAUUUUUGGAAAUUCCAGCGGAGAGAUUGUUUUUAAGAACAGAAGAAAGUCAUCUUGCGAACCAUCAGCAAAGGUUACAAUGAUAUGUUAUUAUUCUGACAACAGUGACAAACAAAAUCCUGACCAUAUCUGAAAAUCAUAUCUUCAAGAUUUUUCAAAAGGAACAACAAAACAAAGAAGCUUAAGUGCUGUAUCUUUCAUUCAUUUUAUAUCAUUUUAAGGCAGCUUUUUGCUGACUGGUUACUGAGAAAAUGCAAUGCAGUUAAUAAAGGAAAAGCUUCAAAGAUGAUAGGAGGAUUCCUUUCUUAAUUCCCA